GACAGAGGGUGCAAACGUUGCUCGGAAUCACUGGGCGUAAAGGGCGUGUAGGCGGGACGGUAAGUCGGGCGUGAAAUCCCUAGGCUCAACCUAGGAACUGCACUCGAAACUACCAUUCUUGAGUGUCGGAGAGGAAAGCGGAAUUCCUGGUGUAGAGGUGAAAAUUCGUAGAUAUCAGGAGGAACACCAGUGGCGAAGGCGGCUUUCUGGACGAUAACUGACGCUGAGACGCGAAAGCGUGGGGGAGCAAAACAGG
rnacentral:rRNA from 1 species